UUGACAUCCAGAGAACUUAGCAGAGAUGCUUUGGUGCCUUUCGGGAACUCUGAGACAGGUGCUGCAUGGCUGUCGUCGGCUCGUGUUGUGAAAUGUUGGGUUAAGUCCCGNAACGAGCGCAACCCUUAUCCUUUGUUGCCAGCGAUUCGGUCGGGAACUCAAAGGAGACUGCCGGUGAUAACCCGGAGGAAGGUGGGGAUGACGUCAAGUCAUCAUGGCCCUUACGAGUAGGGCUACACACGUGCUACAAUGGCGCAUACAAAGAGAAGCGACCUCGCGAGAGCAAGCGGACCUCACAAAGUGCGUCGUAGUCCGGAUCGGAGUCUGCAACUCGACUCCGUGAAGUCGGAAUCGCUAGUAAUCGUGGAUCAGAAUGCCACGGUGAAUACGUUCCCGGGCCUUGUACACACCGCCCGUCACACCAUGGGAGUGGGUUGCAAAAGAAGUAGGUAGCUUAACCUUCGGGAGGGCGCUUACCACUUUGUGAUUCAUGACUGGGGUGAAGUCGUAACAAGGUAAGCGUAGUGCU
rnacentral:rRNA from 1 species